rnacentral:lncRNA from 1 species
UUUGUACGGAAACAUACGACAUGUACCGAGAGUGUUAAGACUGCACGUCCGGUAACCGCACUAAACACCAUAUAUUCCUAUUUGAAUCCAAGUAAAUGAGUAUAUUUAUCGAGACUCUACCUUUAAUCGGAUAUAUAAAUAGCGCGCUAUAAAUAGCCUACAGAACAGAAUUAUGUCAUCACUUGAGUACUAGUCGAAAUAAUUACACGUUCAUACAUGUAUUGUUUUAUAUUUGUGACGCUGACGGGCAAUCUAAAUGGGGAUAUUGCCCAUAUGAAAAAAUAUCUCAAUAUUUCCUAGGAUCGCGUCAAAUUAGUUGGACUACUGUUGCUUAUUCAAAGGAGACAUGAUAUUGAACAUUUUGAAAACUAGCACUGUGGUCAGCAUUUGUUUCACGUGAACUGUGGAGACAUUUGGAUACUGUACCUGAAAGUUCAUCACAAAGUGCUGGUGCUUUGAUAUCUACAAGGUGUAGCAGACGGCAACAGAAUUGGAGGUUACCCAAAUCUAAAGAUGUUGAAGGGUACAAGAAACAACAAAAAAGCUAUGAAAAACAAAUGAAAUAAAAACAUCGUGAAAUUAUAUUGAAUCAUGGCCCUGGGUUCCAGACCGCUCGACAACAACGAAAAAAAAAGAAAGAUUUUUUUAGCUCACCAGAGCACAA